ACCGGUGAUAGCGAGUAGGUGGCUAGUGUACUGCGGCAAGCAAGGAGACAGAGGCAUGGAGCAGAUGUGUGUGGCGAGCCGCUCAUGGCCAAUGCAGCGGCUGUCUCUAUUGUCAGCUUCUAGUGCUACCCCGCCAGUCGUCAUUGCCCCAUGUUGUGUGUUUUGGAGCUUCAAUUUUUCAGUUCGUAGUUUGAAUGCUUUUCAGCUCGUCUACUUUCAAAUCAAAAGUCCGGUCAUCUUUGUGUUUCCAUAUUCUGCACAAGAAUCAUUACACAUGCAGGUAUCUCAUCUCUCAGAUUUUUAUUUUCUCAGGAUGUAGCCAAAACCAGAUGUAGCAGUUACAAAAAAGGGUGAAGUUGGAGGAUCUCUACAUUAUUCUUGCUGGACGUUUAGAAAACAAAAAAAAAUUGAAAGAAAAAAUAAAGCAGGCGAAGUUCAUGAUUUUGAAGUUUGUGAUUUUGGCUCAUGGCAGAAGCUCAUUGGCGAUGAAGGAUGUGAAGCUUCACCACCAUUCACAACUCCAGUAUGGUCCAGUUUGUCAUGAGGAUCUGGAGCUUCAACUUUUUCAGUUCAUCUUUCAUAUGCUUUUUAAUAAAUCUACUUCCUCAUCUGCUGGAGAAUUGGCUCAACCCAACCUACAACUCCCUUUGCUCACAUGGAUGCAAGGAAGGGAUGAAAAGCAGGAGGGACACAAUUCCUGGGUAAUUUCACCAUGGAGCACAUGGUCCUUAGUUAAAACAAACAGAAAACAAUUUCUAGUACAUUUCUAGUUGCUACUUGUUGCCACUGGUAAAUUAGACAUGUUCAGAAAGUGUCAUGGAGCAAGCUCAGCAGAGAUUGUGCCGUUGACCCUUCUUAUUGAAGCUCCUUCUAGAUGUUACUUGGUGCCAUUGUUAAAUUGUGAAAGUUCAAAGACUAUCAUAGGGCAAAUCAGAA